AUGUAUUAAUCAGACUAACUCUGCUGUGCCUUGUAGGAAGCGGGGUCACUGGAUCCCCACAGCUGUUUCUCUAUCCCCGCCUCCCUCCUGGCUUAGCAAAGAGGUGGCUUAUUCUGAGGACUCCAGAGCUCAGCAGAAUGCCCAGCAUUUCUGUCGUGGUACUGGAAGUUACUGUGGUGCUAAAACUGAGACAGUGGGGAACGUCUCAGGCUUUCCUUGCUCGAACCCUAUCAAGUGGAGAGCUUGCAGAUGCAGACUGACUGGUGCACAGGUCUGCUGGGCAGCUGCGUAUUGAAGAAGACAAAGAGAAUGUGGUUAGCAGGAAAAACCAAAAGCUGGAUGGCAAAGGAAGAAGGAGAAACCCCUCUGGGAUCUUAGCAUUAAUCCAUAAUUCUUGGAGUCAAUGUGUGUGUCUGCUAUCAUCAAAUAACUUUGAAAUCAAUGAAAAGGUAAGUGACCUCUCUUGAUUUCUCUGCGUAGAAGACAGCAACAAGCUGCUGGGCAGUUUCCUUGUGUUGUAAAUUUGAAAGGUCAAGUAUUGUUACACUCUGUGUGGGUAGAACUGUAUUUACACAUUAUGAAGUUUCUGGAGAGGCAAGGCAGAGAAAGUAGUACAUGUUUAUACAUCUCUUUUUUUUUUUCUUUAGUUCUUUGAGAAGCUAUAUUCAUAUUAAAGCAAAAUAAAAACCAGCACUCAGAGCCCAGUUUUUGAGACAUGUCGAAGUUGCAAGUUUCCUGUUGGAUAAAGUGUUGUGUGUGCCACCUUCAUUUGGAGAAUGUCUGCAAAUAGGAGGUUACUUUGUACUUUUUAAUUACAAGAUUCCUGCUUCCUACAGUGCGUGAAACUUGGUCCUCAUGGAAUGAAUUUGUCUCUGAUAUUCCCAGAUAAUUUCUUUUCAGAAUAUGUAAACUGAAUGUGCAGGAAAUCAGGCAGAAACAUGCCUCAGAAAAAGAAAGAGUUCAGGAAGCUGCACAGCCUCCCAGCCUGAAAUCCUGUCUUCCUGUAUGACCCUGGCCCAGUCACUCUAGUAAAACCUGGAAAAGUGGUGGAAACUGUGUUUAUGUCAGUCUGCUUUUGGUGUUCAUAAUUGAAAUAUCUAACCAGUUUGGAAAUGUCAAAAGUGAAGACAGUGGGAACCCAGAACACACAAAGUGUUAACACUGGAAAAAAAAAUCAAAGCUCACCUUGGACUUUCAGAACAGGUCGACAUUACUGACUUUGCUCUCUUCACACUCGUGUGUAGAAUUACACCAUCACCUCAUCCAUCAUACAAAGCAUCCCUGAAAAUGCAUGAAUUAAUGUUUUUAAAGUACUCACAGAGGUGACCUGCCCUGUAAAGAAAGAGGAAAAAGCCAUCAGAAAGUGAUAAUCCAUUUCCAAAGAAUUGUUUGCAAGUUGUGUAAUGUACAUCAACAAUUGGAACAAAGUUAUCAAUAGCAAUUGGUUUAGGGAUUCCCACUGUGUAAAGUCAAGAUGUUGCAGGUACAUGAUGACAUGAAUUUUCCCUUGAGAUGUUAUGACAUAUCAAGUACAAAGAAGCAGGAAUUGAAGUUAUAAGUGCAAACUUAAUUAUGGCAUUUCCUAAGCUGCAAGUACCUGAUCACACAACAAGUAUGUAAAUGCAGCAUGUGUCCAAGUCCAAUGCUUAUAAUCUGGCCUAGUAAUCUGUCCAGGAUUAUGCUCCUUGUUGUAUUAAAUAUGAAAUUUGAAUACCUAACCCACGUGUUUUUACAGGCUGCUCAACAACCACUUUUUAAAAUGAGUCAUCACAUUAAUCUCUUUGCCUGCUUGCAUGAUUUAUAUCUUAGUAAAGAUUCACGAUAAUGAAGAGUGAAUGGAUAAAAUAAACAUGCAGUUGCAAAGAUUACAUAUUUUUGCAUUUUAAAAUCAUUAGCUGUGAUUGCUUGCUCUUGCUUUACCCAAUUUAUUGUGCAAAUGUUACUCUCUUAUUGUGGAUAUUUUGAGAGGGAUGGGGUUUCUGUUUAUUCAGGGUUGAUUUCUCUCUCACUGGAGCUGAGUACUUGGAAUAGAAAAGACACGUGCAUGUCAAGAAGUGUUACUUGAAUUUUCAGUUAAAGAGCUUACUGCACUAUAGUGUUGUAUUUUAAGCUUGUCCUCUUGCUAGUCACUAAUUAUUAGAUGUUAUGCAAAUAAUACAAUAAUUGGACUCCUGCACACUCAUCAUGGAAAGCUUUGUGGUUCUUGGGGCUGCACAGACACUGGGACAAUGCAAGCAAAGGUCUCUGCAAGCAAAUUCCACAAAGAGACCUGGGGGUGUCUGACCACGAGAUCGGGGAAGGAAAUUGCUGAAAGGCUGGAGGCUGAUCCUGUGACCAUCACAUCCUCCAAGCCCACAGCCUGCCCCAUCACUGUUUCAAAGCAGGUUAUAUUACAUAUAGAACACAUAGAAAGAGGAAAAAGCGGGUAUAAUCUGAAUCCUGCUAUGGUUAGACUGAGUAUAAUUUUUUUACUUAGACAUUCACUGUUUCACUGUAGAAAUAAGCAGGACAACCCGAGGAUGCUCCACUUACUGUUCUUUCCAGGAUCACUUCCCUUCCAUCAGAAAAACAUUUUCACACACAGGUAGUGGAUCAUGUCCCAUUCUAUUAAUGUUCUCUAUAUCUUAAAUAUGCUUUUGAUUUGUAUUAUUUAUGUUUAUAGUCAUGACUUACGUGCAUAGCAGUGUUCUCGUGUUAUUUUUGUAUAAUAGCACAGAGGGUUUUUCACAGUGAGCUUGUAAAGAUGUCAUUCACAGUUACUGGCUCUUUUUUCUGUGGAUUCAUUUUUCAUUACCAACAUCAGUUUAUGAACAUCACAACGUUCAACUGGAAUACAGUGCAGUUUAAUUAUGGCUUAUACAGUAUUUGAGAACUUUACAAAUAUUGAUUAAUGUUGCCACGUCUCUGUGAAGUAGCAGACAUAUUCAUUUGACAGGUGAGGAAACUGAGGCACGGAGAGCUUAUUUGGAUGACCUAAGAUCACUUAGCAGAUCUGAGACAGUGCAGGCCUUUAAUACAGGAUCACCUUUAAUCUCUGCAGCAGCACGGCUGUUAUUUUCACAUGAGGACAGUUAUAGAUUAGCAUCAGUGUCUGUUCAGAUAUUAAUCUCUACUGAUUCAUUUACCUACAAAACUAUUUCAAGACAAAUUAGAACAUAUUUCUGCUUCAGGCAAAGCUGUUUGUUGCUUGUAUUGUGGUAAAACUUAAUCUAUGUGUUUAAAAAUAAAUCGGUUUGUCAAGGCAUUGCUGUAAUUGGUGUAUCAGCACAGUUUUCACUCACCAGAAGGAUGAUUGAAUCAGAGGAAGAAAAUCCUUGAGGAAAAGUUGAAGAAGCAUUACAAGGACUGAAUUUGGAAGAAUAUUUAUACCAAUGCAGAAGCCCAAGACAGGAAAACCUGAUCAAGUGAUGGAGUUCAGUCCAGCUAGAGCAAGAUGUAUUUUACUGGGUGUUUUAGUCUAAAGGAACUAGAUGGUAAGAGAUGGUAGAGUCUUAUUUUCCAAGGUGUUGGUCAUCACACUGGCUGCAAAUUUGCAUUGCAUUUUGCCUAUUCCAAUCUUGAAUUGUUGUUUUGUGAACUUUUUAGUAGUAAAACAUUCCAGAUGAAACAGAAGCAAAUGAGGACAGAGGUUAUUCAAUUUUCUCAUUUACUGGACAGGUGAAAUUAAUAAUUUUUUAUUACUACAGCAUUACUGUGUCAGUGCUCUCUGUCUGUUAGCAAUUGAUAUUAGCUUAAUUCUGUGAGAAAACUGUUCUGUUCAUAACCUGAACUGCAGGUGUUUAAACUUGGAGAAAUUGAUGACAGGAGAAGGAAUUCUUUCAUUUUUCUACCAGUCCUUUAAUUUUUUCAGUUUUGUGAAAUUCCCAAGAUUGAAAAUGUUUCACUUUAACUUUUCUCAUUGUUUUGUGAGAGAAAAAUACAAACAUAAAGGAACUGAAUCUAGAUUAUAAUGUAAAACAAAAUAUUUCCUCUAUUUCCAAAAUAAACCAUUGGCUCUUGGGUAUUCUUAGUUCCCAUGUUUGAAUGUAUUGAUGAGUUUUGCUUCCUUAAACCGUAGUGAAUCACAUAACCCUCCCAGAAAUUCAUUUUCAGCACUUGAACACAGCAUGUUUGGCUUUUGGGGGACUUUUGCAUGAAAAUAUUUUCUGUCUUGGACUUCAUAAGUUCCUCUAUAUGACAGUAACAGACUGUAGGGGAAUGUAGUGGACUGUUACAUGACAUUUAUACUGCAGUAUUGAUUCUAGAGCCAUCUACCAGAAUCUCAUGAUGGAUGGAGGAUUUAAAGGAAGCCCCUUCUGUUUGGACAAAGAGGGAAGGAGGAUGUUGAGUAGAUGAAGAUCCCAAAAUGGCAUGUGGAUUUUCUUUUUUUAAGAGCAAUGCGAGGAAAAAUCUUUGAAAGUAUCCUGAGAACACAUACCUGAAUGUGCAGAAAGUAAAGGGAAGAAAGGAUAUGAGCUGAAAAGAACUUUAGCUGCAAGUCUGAAAAAAAAUUUGAAAGACCUCCUGCAGCAAGUGAGGAAUUCUGCAGCAGAAGAGCCAAGUGCACAUGGGUCAGAGGGUGAGACCCUCUGUGGGCAUUCAUCUGCAUGUACAGUCAGUAGAAACUGUGGCUUUGGUAGACAGUCUUGGCAUGGAUACUUAAAGUAUUUUUUAUUUUUUCAUUUUAUGUUAACUGAAAAUACAUAUUAUUGACACAUGUGUGUGAUUUGGAAUAUGUCAGAUGAAAUGUGAAUAUUCUAAACUGAUAUAUGCAGAUAAUUACCUAUAAAAGAUAAUUAGCCUUAAGAGUCUUUUGCCUUGUCAAGAUGGGAAGACAAGUCAGGGGAGUCUAAAUUCUUUUUUUGAUAGAUGCCUCAGUCUCUUUCUAAUUCAGAACUUAAUUAAUAGAACAGAAAAAAAAUAAUGAUCCAAAUAUGUACUGAAGUGUUUUUAACAUUAAUCAAAUUUACUUGAAAGUUCUCAAUGAGUUUUGAAAUACGAUUUUGUGAUGUUGCAGCCAACUUUGACCUUUGAAGCCCAGUGUUCUAAGGCACAGGAGGCAGAGCUCAUUCAUGUAGACUUUUCCUUUGUGCUCUGUUCACUGCAGUCGUUGCUGUUUUGUGCCCUUGCAGCUCUACUGAAGAUGCAGAACCCUUAUGGGCUGUAUUCAUCUUCUCUGCUCAGCUGCAGCUGCCCUCCUUCUGCAAGCCUCUGAAAAACUGUGCUAUGAUUUAGGUGUUGGCUAAGACAUGAUUUAUAUCUAAAUAUAACUCUUAAUUACUCUCUGCAAUUGUUAUGUGGCUAGUGACAUUUUAGUAUAUGAACUUAAUAUGAAAACUUGAUGAUAAAAUAUUGUUGUUAUAAGAAACCAUUUCAGUAUAAAAUUGUUGAUAGACUAUAAAUUCUGAUAAUAUCUAUUUGGGAGCUACUGAAAUAAAUAAUAAAUACUUGAAAGAUUUUCCAAGAAUGGGAAAUGCUUGGUUCAGAAAAAAAAAUUAUACUAGUUUUUGUCCCAUUUUCUGAUUUUAUUAAACUGUAAUGAAACUGAUGGGAUGCUUCAGAUAACCAGAAAGAAAUAUUAACCUUGCUACACUACAAAAUGUUGUACUUCAAGGGCCCAGGUAAUUUAAUUCUAAUUAUUGCAGCAAAGUAUUUCUCUUGUGAUAGAAAAGAAAAUGCAGGAGGUAACUGAAAGCUUUUGCUUACAAGAUUGGAAUCAAAAUAGAAAAGUCUGUAAGAAGCUGGGGCUCCUACAGCUGGCCAGUGCUGGGACAUGAAUAGUAAAUACCAAAGAACAUAAAGGUUUCUGACCUUCCUGGGCCAGUUUAAAGGUUCAUUAAUCCAGUGCCCUCUCUCCAUCUGUGUUCACAAGCAAAUAUUUAGAGAAAAAACCCCUGAUUCUUCCCAGCAUAAUCUCCAAUUUCAAGGUAAGCAAUAUUUGCUAGGUUUUGUAGCUAAUAUCCCAUGAUGAAUUCCUCUUUUGUGAAUUUAUCUGCUCAUUUUAAAUACAUACUACCCACAGUAUAUCAGAAUCUUUUGCAACCUAUGUGUUGUGGGAAGAUGUACCUUACCUUUAUUUCUUGGGCCUUUGUCUGGUAACUCUUUGGUCUUUCCCUAUUCACCUUCUCCACUGCCUCUCACAGUAAGUCACUGUGGUAUCCUUGUGGUCUUUUCCAGGCUGAAAAUCCCUUUGUAUUUUGUAAUUCCCUUACAGAAACUGGUGUGCAACUUCUGUUAUGUCAUCCUCCUCUGUGUCUUUUCUUAUUUUAUCUUUGUUGAGAAGGCUGAAGUGGUACUCAAGAUUUAGUCACACCAGUCUUUUCUUAAAAGAAAAUUACUGUUUUCUCUUUUGCUUUUUACUUUUUGUAGUAAUCCCCACUUAUGCUCUAUGUUUUAUUGACUGUUACUGAGCAUUAAACUCAUGGUCUGUAUCUUAUUUCCUGAGUAGGCACCAGGUAGUUCAGGGACUGUCACUGAACACACACAGGUAAUGACUGAUUUGUACCUUUAGCUUGGUUUAAAUGUAUGGAUUUGUUUUUCCCAGGGGACAGCAGUGGAUGUUAUUCCCCCCAGGAAAGCUUUUGACACUGUUUGCCAUAACAUCACUGCAGACAGGGUGACGGAGUUUAGGGCAGACAAGAGGACAGCGAGGCAGGUUGAAAACUGCCUGAAAUGCCAGGGCUCAGGGGGCUGUGACUGGUGGCACAAUUCUGGAGGCCAGCCACCAGUGGGGGAUCCAGGGGCUUGACAUUGGGCCCCUCCCAGUUCAGCAUCCCCUAGAAUGACCAGAACGAUGGGGCACACCCUCAGCAGCUCCAGAGACAAACAAAACUGGGAGGGGUGGCUGGUUCACUGCGGGGCUGGUGCUGCAGGGGGACUCGGCAGACUGGGAAUGGAAAGAAACUGGAAAUGGAAGAAACCUUUUGACAUUCAAUAAAGGGAAGUGCCAAGACCAGCCCCUGGGGAGGAACAACCCCAAGCACCAGCACACCCUGGGACCCAGUGUGUGGAAAGCAGCCCCGCAGAAGGACCUUGCUGGCCCUGGUAGCAACACGAGGCAGUGACUCAGUGCCCUCAUGGCGAAGGUGGCCAGUGGUGACCUGGACUGCACUGAGAGGGAGGCUGCCAGCAGCUCGACGAGUCACCCAUGGCACCUCUCAGACUGGAGAACUGGUAACGGAGUUCCUAUGCUGUGCUUUUUAACCUUCUGCCUUCAUAGUUUAUUCUUUUGAAGGCUUUCUUCACAUUACCUGGAAAUUUCUCCAAUGGUCCUUGAUGCAAAGCAGUGUUAAAAUGGCUUUGGAAGUCCAGCUGUAUGAAAUGAUCUCUUUGCAUGUUGCUGAUGCCCUCAAAGUGCACAUCUGUGAGGUAUGACAUCCCUCUG